UACGUAGGGUGCAAGCGUUAAUCGGAAUUACUGGGCGUAAAGCGUGCGCAGGCGGUGAUGUAAGACAGUUGUGAAAUCCCCGGGCUCAACCUGGGAACUGCAUUUGUGACUGUAGAGCUGGAGUACGGCAGAUGGGGAUGGAAUUCCGCGUGUAGCAGUGAAAUGCGUAGAUAUGCGGAGGAACACCGAUGGCGAAGGCAAUCCCCUGGGCCUGUACUGACGCUCAUGCACGAAAGCGUGGGGAGCAAACAGG
rnacentral:rRNA from 1 species